CAGAGAGCUUGGAGACUUGUAUGUACCUCCUUAAACAGGAAGCUAGCAGACUUCUUGUCCUCCCCUUUCAAUCCUACUUGGCCCCUCCUUUCAGAAGCCCGAUUUAUACAGUAUCACACAUGGUCCCCAAAUGUUGUUCUUUAGUUUCCCUAGUAGUAUCGGGGGUAGGGGCUCCCAGCACAGAGAUGCCAGUACUCCUGAGCAGGCUGGUUUGCCCCAACACUUCAGGGAGGGCAUCUGUCCUUCCCCAAGCACUUGGAGAAUACAGCCUUGUUCGGGUUUGAAGCUGUGGUAGGAGCAGGACGAGAAAGUGCCCUCCCAGUGGGGAGCCUCCCCUCACUCAGGCCUCUAUUUUUAGUGCUUCCCCAGGCUCUAGCAGGAGAAAUCCUUUAGUCAUCAGGGUGUUUAUUUUCCGGCUGCUUCCGACGUCGGGAAAAGCAGAAUGUUGAGACUGGAGAGAUCCAGGGCUGCUGUAAAAGACUUCUCAGGAACCGGCCUGAGAACACAGCCUUCAGACCACUGGGUCCCAGCUCACAGGAAAACAAAACAGGAUGGGCCCCGGACAGCUAAGCCCUCAGGAGUUUCCAACCUGCCUUAACCUUGGAGGCUAUCCAAGCUUAGAGAGCCCUCUGGCCCAGCUCUAUUUGAAGACUGUUUCUCAAAACAACAACUAAGUCCAGAAGAAAUUCUUUCCCAGAAUCCCCCUCCCCAUCCUCUCGAAGGUCUGCUUGGUGAGCCUCCCGCCAACCACAACCCUAGCCAAUCUCAAACCUGAGGCGGGCCUUCCAGAGCUAGGAUUGGUUGGCUGGGCCUCCUAGACCUGGAAUGUUGAGUCUUUAACAAAGGAAUGAGGAAGGAAGGUGAGUCACCUGGGGAAGACUUUAAAGGACUAGCUAGGAGGAAAAGGAAAAGGGAAGCGCUCCAGGGAGGUGGGGGCCCUGGACGCUGACAGCUGACUGGACAGAUCACACGAGACCUGAGUAGGGGGCAGUAAUACAAGGGGGACAAAAUUCAGAGUCUGAAAACGUCUUGGAAGAGAAGAGAAAAGGUAACAAUCGUGAAGUCUUGAUUUCCACAGAGGACCGAAAAGGGCCAAGGUCCUCAUCUCUCUCAACACCCCUCUUCCACCUGGCAGUCCUUCCUCGACCUAGGGAAAGUGCUCUUGCCGCCCCUUCUAGUCUGAUGAGCGGCUUGCCAGGCCCUCCUCUCACCUUCCUUCCCCUGCGCCAUCUGGAUAGCUCUCAAUCCCCACCUCCACACGCAGCUCAGCCACCGAACUCGUCCUUCUUCCUCCAGUUUUUGAGUGAUUCCAGCAAAGAGCCCCCCUACCCAACCUCUCCCCGCAUCUGUCACCAAGCUUGCGAACCGGACCCUCAGCAGGUGGGCGUAUAUAUUCUCUGCGCGAUGAUGGGACUCUGCACUCUGUCCCUGUCUCCUCAGGACGCGCUAGCUUGCUGGUUUGGGUUUCUAAGGUACUUUUCCUUACCAGCUCCUGAGUUCCUGCAGGAAUGCAGAGCUUUGCAGAGCUGGCGUGGAGCGCGCUUAGCAAAUGUAUAUACGCAGCUGUGUGAGUUAGGAUUGUGCAAACUCUACUGAUCAUCUCAUUUCUGCAUCGAUAAUCGUGGUAGCCAAACACAGGGGUCGAGUCUGGGGUCCUACGACUCCACUUCAGGGCAGAGUUGGGGUGAGGGAUAGCCGAAUCCGCCGGAGUCAAGCCCGUGUGGCACAGUAGUGCUCUACGCUGCCUGGGACCAGACGUGGGGACACGAGCAGAAGCCCCUGGAGCUGAGAGGGAGAGGUGCCAGAGCGGGUCCCAGGUCCGUGUUCCCCCCCCCCCCGCCGGCUGGGCAGGAUGUGGUGGCAGCUGCAGUUGGGUGGGCAGGAUGUGGGGGUGGGGGCAGACGAACGCAGCCUGACAGCAGUUCCCCCCCCACCCCAGCUCCCGCCUCCACCCCCUCCGGGUCACGUGCUCUCAGCUUGGGCACCGAGGGACUAUUUCCCAUUUUUCGCGGAAGGACAUCUCAACCCGUCGCCAUGGACUUAAGUUGUAUCACGCCAUUUUCUGGACCCCCCUCUCCAGCCCAGAACAGAAAGUUUGCCCAGUACACAUUUCUGGAAAGCGUGGAUCAACUCGGAAGAGGCCCCUUUAAAUGCAAAUGGUCGCCCUCUUGCUCUGCUCCCCCUCCUCCCCAACCCCCAUCCCAACUUCUCUCCUCGUGCCCAAACUCCACCAGCUGCUAUUGACGUCAAUCGUGCGUCAGCAUCUCCAGCCCAACCAGACAGCACGUGGGGGAAGAAGGCAAUCUUAAAGGGCCAGUCGCUCAGGGCCUUUUAGGUUACCGGAGAUGGAAAAGCUAAGUGGAAUGUUGGAAACUGUUGGAGCGAGAAGAAAUGCAGGGGAGACUUUCAGACUUUCAGAAGGACUGCUUAAGGCCGGCGAAGUGGCUCAGCGGAUCCGGGUACUUCUUUCUGUGCAAGCCCGAGAAUCACCUCCCCAAAGUUAUCCUCUGACCUUCACAGCAUUUUCUCCCCCCCCCCCCCGCACACAUAAUGUAAUGUAUUAAUAAAUCUUUUUUCGUUGUUUUUUUUUUA